AGUAGAAUUGCUGGGUCAUAUAGUAAGUCUGUGUUUAACCUUUUGAGGAACUGCCAGACUGUUUUCCAAAGUGGCUGCACCAUUUUACAUUCCCACCAGCCAU
rnacentral:pre_miRNA from 1 species